rnacentral:lncRNA from 1 species
GCGAUGAGGAACAGCUGAUCACCUGUGGAAGUCAUUUGUCCUAAAUUGUCAUGGACAGACCAUGUGCCUUACAGCAAGAAAAUUCUGUGAAUAAACAGGAAGCCAGCCAGCCAGGGAAGAUGCUUUUGUGAUAUAUCCCAGCAUGCUGAUGACCCCAAGGAGGACCACUGGAUACCUAGCAAGGAGCUGGCUGCAGCAUACCAUGAAUCCUCACAGCAACUUAAUGAGAUUCUCCCAUUGAGAAGCAUUUCUGUGAGCUCUGGAAGUCAGGUGAAAAGGAGAAGUCAUAAUCUAUGGCAGCAGCUAUGGGAAGGAAAAAGAAGAACUGAUUGAAGAGUGGCAACCAGAACCUCUUGUUCCUCCUGUCCCAAAAGACCAUCCUGCUCUCAACUACAACAUCGUUUCAGGGUAAAUUGAUUUUGCUACCUGAAGUACUUGUAUUUGGCUUCUUGUAGUAACCUGCAGUCUAUAGUGCUUUAUAUGUAGUAGUCCUUUUUUAUCUGAAACAAAACAUUUUGAAGUUCCCAGGAGUAACAGCUUUAGCUCCUGAUUUUAAAAAAUUUAUUCUAGGGGUGAUACAGGCAUUUUUUAAAAU